AAUAAGUUAAUCACACGACACUCAUCAGACGACACAUGAGUUUUUGCUGUCGUCUGAGUUAGUCAGACGACAGAUUUUUUAAAUCAGUCGUCUCAUCUCUACUCAUCCAACACAUGAUCAUUUCGUAAAUUUCAGAGAUUUCAGACGACACUAACAAGGAUAUCUGUCGUCUGAAUAACGGAAAAAAAAAAAACAAUCAUUAAUUUAUAUUUAUUUUUCCCCCCUCUCAAAACACCCAAAACCUUUCCGCCAAAAAAAAUUUAAACACCCAAAACCUAGCAGUAAACCCGAGUUCCCUCCCUUAGCUAAAAAUUUGGGUCAACUCUCCCUCCCAAAUUGCUCUCGGCCUCCCUCCGACUCACCAUUGCUCUCACCCUCAAUCCCCCUCACCCCCUCACCCUCUCCACCUCGCUCCACCAUCGCUCUCACCCUCAAUCACCAUCGCUCUCACCCUUAAUCCCCCUCACCCCCUCACCGGCUCACCCUCUCCACCUAGCUCUCACUCGAUCUCAGCGGGUUUUUCUUACUCGAUCUCAGGAGCAACUGGAGUUCAAGAAAGCUGUCUAAGGCGCAAAUCAAGGUCCAAUUUCAACGCUUUAAUUAUCCAAUUUCUGAAAUUUCCAAUUGGGUUUUGCGAUUUUGAUUGUUAUUGAAAACCUAAUUGCAGUUCUGUUCAUUGCUCCUAGCUGGGUUUGAUGCUUCUCGAGUCUUUAACUCUUUCCCUUCUCAAAUCUCAAAGCUCUCUUCCAGUUACGCCAGCCCUACAACUUCUUUGCCUUCCUCUUCAGUAAAGUAGUGAUUUCAAUACUGGUAGUAGUCCUAGUGCUGGCACUAGCAACUCCGUUGAUUCUCAAUCGCUUGGUGAUUAUGAAGAGUAUGAUAGUAGAGACAGUGUGAAGUGUACGGAGGAAAGUCGAGGACCACCAUGCACUGGGUUUGUGGAAGGUAUGGCUCCGGUUUUUUCAAGAUCUGCCUGGCAUUGCACUUGGCAUCUUAUACAGGUAAUCUCUAUAUAUUGGUCUGUGGCUUCAAUUAAUAUUUUGAAAUAUGAUGAAGAAAAUCAUACUCUUGUUACUACUUACAUCAAACUUUUACUAUCAAAUAGCUCCAUAUCCUCAAUGUAUUGAUUUUCAACUCGUAAUUGUAUCGUCUGGAGUACUAUCUCUUGUUAAAUUUGGGCACCACCAACAUGUCAAAUAUCACUUUGGAAAUGUCUGUAUUAAAUUUUUGAAAUAUGGUUUAAAUCUUUUAAUAUGGGCUUGAUACAGAAAUAUUUUCUCUUGUUCUGUGGUUUUACAUUCUUCUGAUGUGAAGUAUAUUGGUCCUUACUUUACUGCCUUUUCUUUUUCUACUUGGUUGGAAGUAUAUUGGUACUUACUUUUCUGCCUUUUCUUUUGAUCUACUUAGCCUGGCCUAAAGACCUAAUAAUUUUUCCUACAGAGAAGGUAACAAAUGGUUAUCCGAUCAAUAAUGGUUUUAACUUCAUUUAAAUGUACACUAGUUUUUUUUUGUUACUAACUAGAUGGCAGCAAAGAGUAAAGGAAUGCAGAUACAGAGUGACUCCAUUUUCUCAAUUAAAACGAUCUGCAUAGUUGUGUUGUCUAACUACCUAUAUGAGGGAUCAAUUAAACUACCAUAUGAAGACUAAUAUUUUGACAGAUUUUGUGGUACAGAUUAAGUGGUUCCAUGUAGCUAAGCCUUGCACAAACUGGUUUUUACUUUCAACAUUGGGACUUUGUUGUUUUCUUUGCCUGAUUUUCUGUGAAAAGUAAAGAAGAUAGCAACAACGUACUACUACUAUUUAGUCUGUAAAAAAUCAGUGGGAGAGAAGAGGGAAGGCAACAUAUACGCACCAGCAUAUUGAUGCAGUCAGAACAGAGUGGGCAAAAUUUGUUGUUAAAACAUAUAUGUAACCAGUAUCGCAUCUAGCUGGUUAGCACUUGGGUUUAGGGACUUAUUUUGGUAACCUUGAUAUAUGAUACAUUUUCACUUUUGUAAAUUUGUUGGAUAUGGCAAUGUAUGAAAUGGAUGGCAGUAAUCUAUGACAAUGUGGUAUUUUGGAUAUGUUUUGGACAUGAAAUUUCAUAUUUGCAAUA